UACGUAGGGGGCAAGCGUUGUCCGGAAUUAUUGGGCGUAAAGAGCUCGUAGGCGGUUUGUCGCGUCUGCCGUGAAAGUCCGGGGCUCAACUCCGGAUCUGCGGUGGGUACGGGCAGACUAGAGUGCAGUAGGGGAGACUGGAAUUCCUGGUGUAGCGGUGAAAUGCGCAGAUAUCAGGAGGAACACCGAUGGCGAAGGCAGGUCUCUGGGCUGUAACUGACGCUGAGGAGCGAAAGCAUGGGGAGCGAACAGG
rnacentral:rRNA from 1 species